UACGAAGGGGGCUAGCGUUGUUCGGAAUUACUGGGCGUAAAGGGCGCGUAGGCGGUGUGUCAAGUCAGGCGUGAAAGCCCCGGGCUCAACCUGGGAACCGCGCUUGAGACUGGCACGCUAGAGUUCGGGAGAGGAUGGUGGAAUUCCCAGUGUAGAGGUGAAAUUCGUAGAUAUUGGGAAGAACACCGAUGGCGAAGGCAGCCAUCUGGACCGUCACUGACGCUGAGACGCGAAAGCGUGGGGAGCAAACAGG
rnacentral:rRNA from 1 species